rnacentral:rRNA from 1 species
AACGCGAAGAACCUUACCCAGACUUGACAUGUAUUGGAAGUAAGCAGAAAUGUUUACGCCCUUCGGGGCCGGUACACAGGUGCUGCAUGGCUGUCGUCAGCUCGUGCCGUGAGGUGUUGGGUUAAGUCCCGCAACGAGCGCAACCCUUAUCGUUAGUUGCCAACAGGUAAUGCUGGGAACUCUAGCGAGACUGCCUGGGUUAACCAGGAGGAAGGUGAGGAUGACGUCAAGUCCGCAUGGCCCUUAUGUCUGGGGCUACACACGUGCUACAAUGGGCGGUACAGAAAGCAGCGAAACCGCGAGGUGAAGCAAAUCUCCAAAGCCGCCCCCAGUUCAGAUUGUAGUCUGCAACUCGACUACAUGAAGACGGAAUUGCUAGUAAUGGCAGGUCAGCAACACUGCCGUGAAUACGUUCCCGGGCCUUGUACACACCGACGCGUA